UGAUGCUAUUUUUCUAUGACUAAUCUGGUGAUACAAGGAAUAAAUUAUUUGACUGCUUCAUUAUGCUUAAGUGUUUGUGAUGGUUUAUCGUGAAAGUGAAUACCGUGGCUCUCUUGCUGUAUGACUACAUAUUUCAUUUGUUGUGUAGGACAGUUUAGAGUAAGACAUUUGCAGCAGCAGUAGUUUGGUCACCUGGCUUGGUUAUUUGUCUUCUUUUUACAUAAAUUUAUGGAUUUCAAAAGUGAAUGGUAAACUUUGAUCAAUUCCCACUAAGAGGUGCACAACCUAAGACUUAGAAAUGAGUGUGUGUGUGUGUGUGUGUGUAUAUAUAUAUAUAUAUAUAAAAUACAAUUGCAACGGCAGUAGUUUGAUCACCUGUCUUGGUUAUUUGUCUUCCUUUUCUGCAUAUUCAUGGACUUUCAAAAGUGAACAGUAAGUUUGAUCAAUUCCACUAGGAGGUGCACAACUUAGGACUUAGAAAUGAAUUUGAUUUGUUUUAUAGUUUAUGUAUAUAUAGUGUGUGAGAUGUUAUUUAUGCAUGCCCAAUUGGAGUUUAAUAUGUCUAAUUUGUAAACUGACUCCUUAUUUUAAUGCUUCCACUCUACUCUCUGAUCCUUGGUUUGUCUACAUCUAAGGUUCACUUAAUUGAAAAUUUGUUCUUUUGCAUUCUAUAGGGAAUCUGAUAAAGUGGAUGAAGAUGUCCCUAACAGCAGCAGUGGCAAGCAGUUGAAAUUAAGGAAUGUUGGUUUCACUACAUCAAAGAGGAAGAGUGAAGAAAUAGAAUCAAGUGCCAAAGGGAGCUAUUAAUUAGGACAUGAAAUAACUCCAAUGGCUUUGGUGGGUGGAAUGGAGUUGGUAAAGGUUGCUAUUGCAGUUCAUACCUUUUAUAAGUCAUAGUGCUAUUUGUGCAAUUUGAAGAAUUUUUCCCCCUGUUUAGAGCUACCCUAUGGGUGCCUCUUAAUGAAUUUGCACAGUUUCGAAGCAUGCAUAUGCUUCCUAAUUGCAAUUAAUUCUGCAUUGAACAUUGUUGGCAUUAUGAAAUGAACAUUAGACGACUUAGUUGACAUUUAGAGGA